rnacentral:lncRNA from 1 species
UACAUUUUACUCUCUUAUUUUCAACAAUUCAUUAUUCAAUAAAAUAAUAUUAUACACAAAUUCAAAACGUUUCCUUGAUUUCAAUAGGGUUGGGUUGUGUUGGUUGGUUGGUUUAGAUAUUAAAAAUCAUAAAAAUAUGUUCGACAAUAAAAACAUAUCAAUCACAACGCUUCCCAUGAACAAAAACUUGUAAUCAGGCAUGAAGGGAAGUGUAUGUAUUAUACAAAUUAUCAUAUCACUUAAAGGGAAAAUAAGCCUAAAACCAAGCCCCAAAUUCUCACAUUAAAAUAUAAAUGAAUAAUCAACUUAAAAUUUAAAGUUAAGAGUACCAAAAAAUUAAAUACCGGAUUAGCGUCGAACCUAAACUGAUGCAAACCUCGACGAACAACGUCGCAAGACCCGAAAACAAUACCUUGGAGUACAAAUCAAAUUGUCCACAAACAAGGAAUUUAGGUAAAGAAAGAAUAUUGACCUCGUGGCUAUAAAGAACCAGAAACCAAUAUUAUAAAAGUUUGGAAAUCACAAAUUAGCACUUGGAAUUCCCAAAAAGUUGCAGAAGAACAAAGUAGGAGAAAAAAUCAAUGUUCCAUCUUUCUUAGGAACUAGCAAAAUAGGUACGGUACACGGACUCAUACUCUCAUAGAUGUGUCCUUUAGCCAAUAGCUCUUCUACUUGUCGUUGCAAUUCUUUAGUUUCUUCAGAACUGCUGUGAUAAAUUAGGAGGUUUGGAAUUUGAGCUCCAGGAAUAAAAUCGAUUUGGUGCUCAAUUUCUAAAAUUGGUGGCAAACCCGGUGGCGUUUCUUCAGGGAUAACAUCAUCAAACUCCUGCAAAAGUGAAGCAGCUACACUAGGCAAAGAAGAAUCAAGUUUAGCGUUAGAAGAAUAUGUUUCUUUAUGCAAAAACAAGAUCAUCAUUUUGUUGGAAUUACAAGCGUUCUUCAUUUCUCUCUCUUUUGCAUAAAAACACAUUUUUCUUUAGUCUUUUCUCACUUGUGUCGAAUCCUCUUGUUUUUCUUCCUCACCCUCAAAUUAUUCUCAACCUGCUGACUCUCCUUUCGGUCAUGCUCAACCUUGACCAUGGUUUCAAGUUGCUUUAUGUUGGCAGCAACGGACUUCUUGAUUUGAUUUUGCUCCUCAUACACUUGUUGAGGUGACAAUGGUGCAAGUGUAAUAAUCUUUCCGUCCUUGUUAAAGCUGUGUCUAUUUUCAUAACCAUCAUAAAUAUUGCACCUAUCAAACUACCAUGGCCUCCCAAGCAAUAUAUGACCUGCUUGCAUAGGAACAACAUCACAUAAAACUUCAUCAUUGUAUUGUCCAAUGGAAAAGAAAACUAGCCUCAUCUCUCCACUUUUAUUGAGCCAUUGUAGCCUAUAAGGCCUCAGGUAUCUUGUAGUACGUAAAUCAAGCUUUUUCACUGAUGAGUGCUCUACACUCAUAAUAUUUAUGCCACCUAAUUUGUUAUUUUGUUACUUUUGAGAGUGUUUUAGAGCUUUUUAUUGUGUGUUUUGAUGUUGUGAUGUAGGUUGAUGAAAUUGAAAGAAAUAAGCAAAAGUUGGCGAAAUUGGAGAAAAUUGCCAAAUUGUAAGACAUCCAAAGUUCGGGGACUAAAGCGUAAAUAUUGAAAAGUUG